rnacentral:tRNA from 1 species
AGAAAGUUAGUCUAACUAAGACAGUUGAUUUCGGCUCAACAGAUUAUAGCUCACACCCUAUAACUUUCUUC